UACGGAGGAUGCGAGCGUUAUCCGGAUUUAUUGGGUUUAAAGGGUGCGUAGGCGGACUGUCAAGUCAGCGGUAAAAUACGGGGGCUCAACCUCCGCCCGCCGUUGAAACUGGGGUUCUUGAGUGAGCGAGAAGUAUGCGGAAUGCGUGGUGUAGCGGUGAAAUGCAUAGAUAUCACGCAGAACCCCGAUUGCGAAGGCAGCAUACCGGCGCUCAACUGACGCUGAGGCACGAAAGUGCGGGUAUCGAACAGG
rnacentral:rRNA from 1 species